CCAAUAUCCAAUUUAAUUCUAGAACAAAUAUCCCGUAUCCCAAAAUUAUCAAACGGGCAUCACAUUUAGGCGUUGACAUUUCACGAAGGUAACUUUUUGUUAAAACUCCGACGUUAGUUAAGAAGAUGAAGAUAAAAACGCCAUUCAAAAACUAUACCAGGAAAAGAUUGGUGGCCGAAUUUAAAAGAACGACACAAUGACCUUUUCUUUAGGAAUCCUGAAAAAACAGGCUCUCUUAGAUGCAGGAUGAUGAACAGACAGAAGGAAGAAGAAUAUUUUAAGGCAUUGUAGAAAAUUCUGAUUGAAAAGGAUAUUGCAAAGAAAAAUAAAAAAUAAAAUGAUAUGGAACAUGGACGCAACGG
rnacentral:lncRNA from 1 species